GCCCAGAUGGCGGAAUUGGUAGACGCACUGGUUUCAGGUACCAGCGCCGCAAGGCGUGGAGGUUCGAGUCCUCUUCUGGGCACCA
rnacentral:tRNA from 10 species